rnacentral:rRNA from 1 species
GGACGAACGCUGGCGGCGUGCCUAACACAUGCAAGUCGAGCGAGGAGAUCCUUCGGGAUGAUCCUAGCGGCGGACGGGUGAGUAACACGUGGGCAACCUGCCUCAUAGAGAGGAAUAGCCUUCCGAAAGGGAGAUUAAUACCUCAUAACAUUGCAGUUUCGCAUGGAACAGCAAUUAAAGGAGUAAUCCGCUAUGAGAUGGGCCCGCGGCGCAUUAGCUAGUUGGUGAGGUAAUGGCUCACCAAGGCGACGAUGCGUAGCCGACCUGAGAGGGUGAUCGGCCACAUUGGGACUGAGACACGGCCCAGACUCCUACGGGAGGCAGCAGUGGGGAAUAUUGCACAAUGGGGGAAACCCUGAUGCAGGCCAACGCCGCGUGAGUGAUGACGGCCUUCGGGUUGUAAAGCUCUGUCUUCAGGGACGAUAAUGACGGUACCUGAGGAGGAAGCCACGGCUAACUACGUGCCAGCAGCAGC